UCAUUAUUCAUGCGACCUUUAUUGGUCCUUUUUUAAUUUGAUCAAAAUGCCGUUAUUUUAGAAAUAUGACAUCAUAAAGUUCACGUUUUCCCCGCCAUUUUAGCAUAUUUUGUAUAAAACUGCUUAUUUUCAAGCAGUUUUUCUUCCAGAAAAUAUAGAGCGCAGCCUAGAACAAACUUUAUAUUUUUUUUUUACCAAAGAUGUAUCUAUCCAAUACUAAUUAGUGACAGAAAAAUUAUGUAUGUUCUACACUGCGCACCAUGUUUUCCAUAAGAAAAAACAUCAAGAAACAAGAUCAUAUUUUUGGCUUUUUUUGUUAGAUAGCAAAAAUAGCAUUACUUCUCAUGUCAUUUACAGCCAGUAAGUGCAUAUAAAUGUGAAAAAUAUAUUGGAAAUAUUUCUAAUAUAAUCUCUUCUACAAAAUAAAUAU